GCGGUUGGCGCUGUUGGGAGUUCCCGGAAUGGUGAUCUCGUGUGUCUCCUGGGCCCGUGGCGGUGGGAGGUACGCUGCAGCCUUUACACUGCCAAUUGGCUCUCAGAGUGCGGGUCCCGAGCUCGCCUCAUCUACUGCUCUGGGCGUUUGUUAGAAACGCCGAGUCGCCGCCCCGGGUGGCCGGAGGCUAGAAGCUGUGGGUGGGUCCAGCAGUCUGUGUUAACCAGCCCAAUCUGCUGACCCAACGUCCACUCAAGUUGAAACCACCGCUGUGUACGAUACAAAAGCGACAAACGUCUCGGUGGCAACUGAAAGCUAUUUACAUUGUGGCGGAACCUAUGAGAGAAGAGUGCUACUGAUGAGCUGCCCACGUCUGAUGAUUUCUCCACAGGCAAAACAAAAUAGAGCCAAUUAACCUGUCAGUCAGCAGAACAAAUCUCAUUGAACUGAGACACAGAUGUGGCCAUGGUGUGGAGGUUGGAAUCGUGACUUCACCACGCACCAGCCCCGUGACCCUGAGCAAGUUGCUUCGCGUCUUUGCACCUCUGCUUUCUUGUCUGUCGGUAGCUGCAAAGCAGGAAAAGGCUGAUCCAUUAAAGAAGAGAGAGAGCGAGAGCGAGAGUCCUGUCAAUAAACCACAGUAGCCAGAGGAACCCAAGUUUAGCAUCACUUGCUCAGCCUGUUCGGGAGCCUCUAAUGGACUCCACUUCCGUGAACGCAAAGUUUCAGGAUGACAUCUAGCUGUUGGGGCUCAAGAUGAAGAGAGACAAUGAAC